rnacentral:rRNA from 1 species
CACAUGCAAGUCGAGCGGUAACAGAGAGUAGCUUGCUACUUUGCUGACGAGCGGCGGACGGGUGAGUAAUGCUUGGGAACAUGCCUUGAGGUGGGGGACAACAGUUGGAAACGACUGCUAAUACCGCAUAAUGUCUACGGACCAAAGGGGGCUUCGGCUCUCGCCUUUAGAUUGGCCCAAGUGGGAUUAGCUAGUUGGUGAGGUAAUGGCUCACCAAGGCGACGAUCCCUAGCUGGUUUGAGAGGAUGAUCAGCCACACUGGGACUGAGACACGGCCCAGACUCCUACGGGAGGCAGCAGUGGGGAAUAUUGCACAAUGGGCGCAAGCCUGAUGCAGCCAUGCCGCGUGUGUGAAGAAGGCCUUCGGGUUGUAAAGCACUUUCAGUCAGGAGGAAAGGUUAACGGUUAAUACCCGUUAGCUGUGACGUUACUGACAGAAGAAGCACCGGCUAACUCCGUGCCAGCAGCCGCGGUAAUACGGAGGGUGCGAGCGUUAAUCGGAAUUACUGGGCGUAAAGCGUACGCACGCGGUUUGUUAAGCGAGAUGUGAAAGCCCCGGGGCUCAACCUGGGGAACUGCAUUUUCGAACAGGCGAAACUAGAGUGUGAUAGAGGGUGG